rnacentral:rRNA from 1 species
UACGUAGGGCGCAAGCGUUGUCCGGAAUUAUUGGGCGUAAAGAGCUCGUAGGCGGUUUGUCGCGUCUGCUGUGAAAACCUGAGGCUCAACCUCGGGCUUGCAGUGGGUACGGGCAGACUAGAGUGCGGUAGGGGUGACUGGAAUUCCUGGUGUAGCGGUGGAAUGCGCAGAUAUCAGGAGGAACACCGAUGGCGAAGGCAGGUCACUGGGCCGCAACUGACGCUGGAGG